UACCUAGUAGUAUGGGAUAGCCACUAGAAAUGGUGGGUAAUACUGUAUAAUCCCUGCGGGGGAAAGAUUUAUCGCUAUUAGAUGAGCCUAUGUUAGAUUAGCUAGUUGGUAGGGUAAAGGCCUACCAAGGCAGUGAUCUAUAGCUGGUCUGAGAGGAUGAUCAGCCACACUGGAACUGAGAUACGGUCCAGACUCCUACGGGAGGCAGCAGUGGGGAAUAUUGGACAAUGGGCGCAAGCCUGAUCCAGCUAUGCCGCGUGAGUGAGGAAGGCCUUAGGGUUGUAAAACUCUUUCAGUGGGGAAGAUAAUGACGGUACCCACAGAAGAAGUCCCGGCAAACUCCGUGCCAGCAGCCGCGGUAAUACGGAGGGGGCAAGCGUUGUUCGGAAUUAUUGGGCGUAAAGGGCAUGUAGGCGGUUCGGUAAGUUAAAGGUGAAAUG
rnacentral:rRNA from 1 species